GACGAACGCUGGCGGCGUGCUUAGCACAUGCAAGUCGAGCGGAAAGGCCACUUCGGUGGUACUCGAGCGGCGAACGGGUGAGUAACACGUGAGUAAUCUGCCCUUGGCUUUGGGAUAGCCACCGGAAACGGUGAUUAAUACCGGAUACGACCACUUCUCGCAUGGGAUGGUGGUGGAAAGUUUUUCGGCCAGGGAUGUGCUCGCGGCCUAUCAGCUUGAUGGUGAGGUAAUGGCUCACCAUGGCUUCGACGGGUAGCCGGCCUGAGAGGGUGACCGGUCACACUGGGACUGAGACACGGCCCAGACUCCUACGGGAGGCAGCAGUGGGGAAUAUUGGACAAUGGGCGGAAGCCUGAUCCAGCAACGCCGCGUGAGGGAUGACGGCCUUCGGGUUGUAAACCUCUUUCGGUAGGGACGAAGCGCAAGUGACGGUACCUGCAGAAGAAGCACCGGCUAACUACGUGCCAGCCGCCGCCGUAA
rnacentral:rRNA from 1 species